rnacentral:lncRNA from 1 species
UUUUCUUACUAGUGUUACUAUUUUUCACAUUAUUAUUUUUUGUCUCACUAUUAUUAUUAUUAGAUAUAUUAUUAUUAUUAUUAUUAUUAUUAUUAUUAUUUUGAUUCCAAUCAAGAUCCAGGUCAACUCGAUCAAAGCCCCACGCAAAAAAAUAGAGAAAGUGUGAAUAGUAGAAUUGCAAAUGGAUCAAACAAACCGAAACAAUUUUUUUUCUAUUAUUUAUUUUCAGUUACAAUUGAACAUUACAAAUCAAAUAAACCUAAAUCU